GUGUAGGUCAGAUUCUACAAAAUGUGUAGUGGGAUCAUUUACAGUUUUUUACCAAAUUAAAGCCAAAAAGCAACAUGGACUAUUGUUCAGGGUUUCUUGUUAUCCUUUUGAUCACACAUAAAUAUCCCUCAGGAUUCUGUGCUGGGCUCUCUUCUCUUCUUUCUCUGUACUACUUCACUGGCAAACCAACUCCAUUUUGUAGUUGGCCCUUACUCAUCAUGACUCCAAGGGAGAUCUUCUAUUCACUACCCUUUAAGACUUCACAGGUGACAUUGUUAUGUCUCCUAAAACUAGUAAGUUAAAAAAAAAUUUUUUUAUCAUUGUCAUGCAAAAUAUCCUUCCACUUUGGUCACUGUUGUAAGAGCAAACAUGUAUAACCAAAACCCCAAAAUAAAUCCAAAGAUACACUAAUGUGAAAGACA
rnacentral:lncRNA from 1 species